GCAGAUAUGAUCUAAUUGGCAAGAUGGUGGCUUUCAAAGCUAUUGAUGCUGGUUCAAAUCCGACUAUCUGUG
rnacentral:tRNA from 2 species